AGGAUGAACGCUGGCGGCGUGCCUAACACAUGCAAGUCGAACGUCCUGUCUCGCAAGAGGCAGGGAGUGGCGGACGGGUGAGUACCACGUGGGUCAUCUACCGUGAGGUGAGGAAUACCGGCGAGAAAUCGCCGACAAGACCGCAUAGGCUCGAUGCAAGUCGAGCAAAGCUCUUUCGAGAGAGGGAGCGCCACACGAGGAGCCUGCGCCCGAUUAGCUAGCUGGUGGAGUAACGGUUCACCAGGGCGACGAUCGGUAGCUGGUCUGAGAGGACGAUCAGCCACACUGGGAUUGAGAACGGCCCAGACUCCUACGGGGGCAGCAGUGAGGAAUUUUCGUCAAUGGGGGCAACCCUGAACGAGCAACGCCGCGUGCAGGAAGAAGGUUUUCGGAUCGUAACUGCUUUUCUCGGGGAAGAGAACGGACGGUACCCGAGGAAUCGAGCCCCGGCUAACUACGUGCCAGCAGCCGCGGU
rnacentral:rRNA from 1 species